CAGGGAUUGCCCUAGUAACGGCGAGUGAAGCGGCAACAGCUCAAAUUUGAAAUCUGGCUCUUUCAGAGUCCGAGUUGUAAUUUGCAGAGGGCGCUUUGGCUUUGGCAGCGGUCCAAGUUCCUUGGAACAGGACGUCACAGAGGGUGAGAAUCCCGUACGUGGUCGCUAGCUAUUGCCGUGUAAAGCCCCUUCGACGAGUCGAGUUGUUUGGGAAUGCAGCUCUAAAUGGGAGGUAAAUUUCUUCUAAAGCUAAAUAUUGGCCAGAGACCGAUAGCGCACAAGUAGAGUGAUCGAAAGAUGAAAAGCACUUUGGAAAGAGAGUCAAACAGCACGUGAAAUUGUUGAAAGGGAAGCGCUUGCAGCCAGACUUGCUUGCAGUUGCUCAUCCGGGCUUUUGCCCGGUGCACUCUUCUGCAGGCAGGCCAGCAUCAGUUUGGGCGGUGGGAUAAAGGUCUCUGUCAUGUACCUCUCUUCGGGGAGGCCUUAUAGGGGAGGCGACAUACCACCAGCCUAGACUGAGGUCCGCGCAUCUGCUAGGAUGCUGGCGUAAUGGCUGUAAGCGGCCCGUCUUGAAACACGGACCAAGGAGUCUAACAUCUAUGCGAGUGUUUGGGUGUCAAGCCCGAGCGCGUAAUGAAAGUGAACGGAGGUGGGAACCCGCAAGGGUGCACCAUCGACCGAUCCUGAAGUUUACGGAAGGAUUUGAGUAAGAGCAUGGCUGUUGGGACCCGAAAGAUGGUGAACUAUGCUUGAAUAGGGUGAAGCCAGAGGAAACUCUGGUGGAGGCUCGCAGCGGUUCUGACGUGCAAAUCGAUCGUCAAAUUUGGGCAUAGGGGCGAAAGACUAAUCGAACU
rnacentral:rRNA from 1 species